CCUACGGGAGGCAGCAGUGGGGAAUAUUGCGCAAUGGGCGAAAGCCUGACGCAGCAACGCCGCGUGGGGGAUGAAGGCCUUCGGGUUGUAAACCUCUUUCAGCAGGGAAGAAGCGAAAGUGACGGUACCUGCAGAAGAAGCACCGGCUAACUACGUGCCAGCGGCCGCGGUAAUACGUAGGGUGCAAGCGUUGUCCGGAUUUAUUGGGCGUAAAGAGCUCGUAGGCGGUUAGUCACGUCGGAUGUGAAAUCCCGGAGCUUAACUCCGGGCCUGCAUUCGAUACGGGCUGACUCGAGUGUUGUAGGGGAGACCGGAACUCCUGGUGUAGCGGUGAAAUGCGCAGAUAUCAGGAAGAACACCGGUGGCGAAGGCGGGUCUCUGGGCAACUACUGACGCUGAGGAGCGAAAGCGUGGGGAGCAAACAGGAUUAGAUACCCUGGUAGUCCACGCCGUAAACGGUGGGCGCUAGGUGUGGGGAACAUUCCACGUUCUCUGCGCCGCAGCUACGCAUAGACGCCCGCCGUCGGGAGGUACGGCCGCGACGGACGUAAACCUACAACGGAAGUAGACGGCGUGAGACGUGCCGACGGACGACGACGACGGGAGUAGG
rnacentral:rRNA from 1 species